AUUUGACAGAGAUAGAAACAGCCAGCGAGAGAGGGAACACAAGCAGGGGGAGUGGGAGAGGAAGAAGCAGGCUCCUAGCGGAGGAGCCUGAUGUGGGGCUCGAUCCCGUAACGCCGGAAUCACGCCCUGAGCCGAAGGCAGACGCUUAACCGCUGUGCCACCCAGGCGCCCCACUAUUAUUGUUUCUAGGUGCACUCAAGCCACUUUUCUGCAACCGCUGAAUACCUAACAGCCAUGCGUUAACACCAUUUAUUUGGGGAGAAAUGUGUGCUAUGAGCACCAAAUGACUGGCUGCUUCCGGAAAAGUUAGAAGAGCUCCGCGGCUCCUCCUUCAGCCCGGUGGGGCGAAGGCACUGUGCGAAGCACCGGCACACUAGUGCUCAUCCAGCCUCACCAGUGUCACGUGAAGUCGGCGGGCUUCCCCUUUACCAGACGGAGCGACCAUCGACUAAUCGGCCCAAGGAGACUCAAACAGGAAGCGACGGUCAGGAGUCAUUGCUCUCUUGGCCAGCUGAUUAUAACGUUCAAGGAUCCCGCAACCAACAGAGAAGUGGAAAAGCUGACGAAGAAUUCACAGAUGGAGAAGGAAAAUCUGGGACCACUGAGUUGAUGGAGCCCCUUGAAGAAAUUUCUGGAAUUAUGGAAGUAGCUGGAAGAAUAAUGGCCAAGGCAACCAUUAUGUGUGCGUCUUAAGUCCAGUUUACAGAAGAGAACCAUCCUUUUGAUCUUGGACUUUACAAAGAAGCUGUGAAAAAUCACCCAUGGGUUCCCCCAGUUUUCCUUUGGGGAUUGUGCAAUAAUGACUGAUCUCGAUGCAUUUUUUAUGACUGCAAAUGAGCUACACUGAAGACUGUUAAAGGAGGCCCCUGAUAUUUGAGGGAGAGAUUUCUGUGAUUUUUAAUAUUUAAUUUGUUCUCUUUUUAAUUUCACUUACCUAACUUUAUUAGAGAUUGCAAGAACACACUUUUGAUGGAACCUGUAUAUUCACAGUUCUCACCUAAGUCCUCACUGAAAAUCACUUCUCUGGUAUAUGGUCAAGUAAGAUGCAAGAACAAAAGCAGGUGUGUUAAGUUUAGUUUUAUUUUAUUAAUAAAAGUUUAAAUGGUUAAAAAAAAAAAAAAGAA
rnacentral:lncRNA from 1 species